rnacentral:sRNA from 1 species
CUAUCUCAAAACAACGAAAGCCCUGCCUCUCUUUCGUCCUUACGGCUCCUAGACCGCGCCAGUGUGAAUUGUGAUCAAACGUCCUCU